ACCUAGGAAUAGCUCAGUUGGUAGAGCAAGAGGUUCUUAAUCUCAGGGUUAUGGGUUUGAGCUCCACGUUGGGCA